ensembl:lncRNA
GGACACGACUGAGCGACUGAACUGAACUGAACUGACUGAAACAUCUGUGGCCUGAAAAGAAUAGUGGCAGGCCCUACGGUUCAGGCCCUCUUCAUAGCUCUAAGGACACUGGCUCAGAAUCGCUGAACACGGGCCUCGCUGAUUUCGUGGCAGAGCGAAGGCUGAAGGCAGUGGUGUCACAGGGCAGGCUCCCUGGGCGUGCGCUGUGCCAUCGCAGGGACCUGUGCUCAGAAGGGGCCUCUGCUUUGACGCUCUGUGACGUUCUCAAAAUCGCUAGUAAUUUUUUUCUUUGAACGUCUGCUUUGUAAGGGAAGUCCAAAGGGAGCACGGAGCGUGCCCGUGCACUGCGAGUACCUGUUGCACAUUUCUGCAGGGUCCCGGGCGCCUGUGGACCGGUGUGCCACGCAUGCGUGCUUGGUAAGAUGCGAGCCGUGGCGGGCUGAGCGCGUGGCAUCUCUGCCGAGGUCUGCAGAGGCUCCCACUGCCUGAGAAGCCGUCUGCAUCAGAACCUGCUUGGAAAGCAAAAAGGCAAGGAACAUGCUGGUUAUCCUGUCUUAGUCCUAUUCGUCUCCUGGUGAGCUGACCGCUUGCUCUGACAAUGACACUGUGGAAGGAAAUGGAGACAGAGCCCUCCACGCCACCGGUCCUUACUUGUCAGUCAGAUGACUGGCCGGGCUGGCACUCUGCUGCUGCUGCUGCUAAGUCGCUUCAGUUGUGUCUGUGACUCUGUGCGACCCCAUAGAUGGCAGCUCAUCAGGCUUCCCUGUCCCUGGGAUUCUCCAGGCAAGAACACUGGAGUGGGUUGCCAUUUCCUUCUCCAAUGCAUGAAAGUGAAAAGUGAAAGUGAAGUCGCUCAGUCGUGUCCGACUCCUAGCGACCCCAUGGACUGCAGCUUACCAGGCUCCUCCGUCCGUGGGAUUUUCCAGGCAAGAGUACUGGAGUCGGUUGCCAUUUCCUUCUCCAACUGCAGUAGCUUGGUCCCACUUUAUUUAUGCGAAUGUAGCUUUAGGCCUGUUGCUGAAACAAAUAUACUGACUUAGCUCUCAGAGGAGGAAAUGAAAUACCAGAAAGACUUGGGGCUGGACCGUGUUCAUCUGUUGUGUCUUCCUCUGCCCUGGGUGCCCAGGUGACCCCUCUAAGGUCCCUCUACCCUCAGUUCUUGCCUGGGAAGAAAAAGGGAUGAUCAAAGUCUUUCAGAUACAGAUCCACCUGCCCCAACAGAGUGGUGAAGUCGUGUCUCAGGUCCCCCGUCCCAAAGCCUGGCCAACCAGGGGUGCACGUGCUCUUCCAGGGGCUCCGGCCCACCUCCCUUUCCACGGCGGUCACAGCCGGAGCGGGAGUGGCGGACCCCUGGGGGUGGGGCUCGUUUUUAUCCUUGAGUUGCCAUUAUCAGGAGAUCUGUCCCUGCUGAGCUGCUUCCUGUCUUUCAUCCCAGCUUAGCGUGUUCCACGUUGGUGUCACUGUCUGUCAUCCGUUUGAGCCUGCGGAAUAAAUAAAUGCUGACUCCGGCUUUGGGAGGCCUUCCAGAACAUCUGGCCCAGGGUUCCUUGCAAGCUGUAGGUGGAGGCGUUUCUGGACACCUCUGAGGGGGGAACGUGGUAAGCCCGGGCCACUGAGUCCCUUCCGUGUGACUCAGGCGGCUGGCCCCCACCAGCCAGCUGGAAGGACUGCAAGCAAAGCCUCCCCGUUCGGGGGGUGAGGCCAGGGCACAGCUCCCCUCUGCUGCGGCCUUGUUCUGGGGCUUACUGGCCACAGCGUGGACUGGGUUGCUCCCGCCGGUUCUCUCAGCCACAUGCCCGCACCCCUGGCGCUUUGUGCCGCUGGUUUGGCCUCUGGGGGCGCUGUUCUUAAAUCCACUCAGGAAGUCAGGCAGCCUCACAGAGGAAGCAGCAACGGGCCCCUUAGAGUCAGACCGUUUCGGCGGAGGAAGCUGAUAGCGUCUGACUUUUCCCAAGGGAAACUUUUCACAGGAAAAAAUGUAAAAACUCUCCCCCAGAGUCUCAGAAUCGACAGUGAUGGUUCUCACUGGGAAGCGGCAUGGUGUCUACACAGGAAUGGGGACGUGGGUUGGAACCCUAGGAAUCUGGGAAGAUUCCACACGCCACAGGGCUGCUGAGCCCCUGCUCAAAGACCACUGAGCCUGCAUGCCAAGAGCCUGUGCUCUGCAUCGAGAAGCCACCACGACGAGAAGCCCGAGCAUUGCGACUAGAAGGUAGCCCCUGAUCUCUGCAACUAGGAAAAGCCCGUGGGCAGCAACGAAGACCCAGCACAGCCAAAAAUAAAUAAAUAAAUAAAACCCCCAAA